ACAAUGAUACUUCUGUCCCCGGGUUGCCGGGGGCGGCUUCGGGCGUUCCCCGGAGGGGUGAGAGUCCCAUGA
ncrna:unclassified sequences pemK RNA